CAAAACUUCGGGGGGUAUUUGCAAAACGUCAUGUUCAUUAACAAAAAAAUUUGACGAAGGCGGUAAAUUGACUAACGUUGUGAAAUUUCAGGGGGGUAAUUGAAGUUUUGUUAAUUUCAGGGAGGUAAUUGAUGAAACUUACAAUUUCAAAGGUGAAAUUGAUUAUUUACUCAUAUGAGAAUAUAACAUCAUUACCCGACUUCCAAAUAAACUGAUUACAAAAUCUCAAACUAAAACCAAACAACGUAUGAGGUGAGAUCAAACUACAAACGAUCGUAAUAGAGUAAGAAACCCAAACAAGUUUGUUGAUAUUACAAAUUCGUACCCCAACCAGUUGAAAACUUUAUACCAAACACGAAAAGAUAAAUAACAAAUUACAAGCAAGUGGUACAACGGCUCCUAGUAAUGGCCCCAAAAUACAUAGUUGGACCCUUUAACAUCUUGGAUAACAUUCCCUCUUGUUGAUUUGUCUCUUUGUUUGAUUGCACUUCUUCCUUUAUUGAUUCUUCUAUUGAUUUCACUUCUCCCUCUUGAUUCUUCUAAUUAAUUGGACUUCUCUCUAUUGAUUCUUCUGAUUGAUUUCACUUCUCCCCCCUUUUGAUUCUUCUCUUUGGUUGUUUAUCUCUCUAUUGGUUCAUUUGUAUGGUUGCUUCUCCAUAUGAUUCUUGUGUUGGUUUAGUUUGAGAUGGUUCUUUUGCUUUGAUGGUUCUUUUUGUUGACUCUACGAUGAUAACUCACUUUGGUUGAUGCUCUUCAUUGGUUAUGCUAUCAGCUGAUUUGGUUUAUUUUCUUUGUUAAUUUUAACAAGCUUAAAUCUUAAUAAGCUUUAACUUGAGGGGUAGUGUUAGAAGUUUAUAUUAUUUAGUAUGUUUUCGUAUUUUAUUUGACAAACUCACAAUGCUUCUUGUUGAUGCAUCUUGAGUUUGAGGGUAAUACUUACUUUUGUGUUUCACUCUCCAUCAGUAUAUAUUGAAGACACCAGUGUUGUUGUAUUGUGGCACCCAAAUCAUUGUACAUUACUUAGCAUUAAGAAGGCAAGUACUUAUAAAGAUCAAGAUCACAAGAAAUUUGUGUAUUUAGUUUUAUUCAUUUAUGGUAUAAAGGUAGAUUGUGUGGUAGUUAAAGAUUGAAGAGCCUGUCCAAAACUUGUAAGGUCAGAUAGACCAAAAAGAAGAGAAAGUGUUCGGAAUCUGAGAGGGUAUCUCAAGCACUAAAUCGAAAAAUUUCACAGUCAGUAGGGAACGGACUAACCCAGUUAAGAUUAGCAAGUAAAAUUGCUCUGUGUCAUUUUCUCUAUCCCUUAACUCCUUAUUUGAUAGUUCAAAAAGAAACACAUUCAACCAAUCUCUUCUUCUAUUAAUUUGAUACAUACUUCAGAUCAUAUAUUUAAACAUCUUCUCAAGACAACCCAAAUUUCAAAGGGUUACAAUCCCAACCUCAAUUCCUUGUGUCCAUUAUUUUUACUUCAAAGAGUACUUAAGCAAGAGGGGGAGAUGAUCUGAGUUCAGAAAUUACU
rnacentral:lncRNA from 1 species